GGCUUGAUGGUCUAGAGGUAUGAUUCCUGCUUCGGGAUUACAUGACUGCAGGAGGCCCCGGGUUCGAUUCCCGGUCAAGCCC
rfam:Laetiporus sulphureus 93-53 unplaced genomic scaffold LAESTscaffold_104, whole genome shotgun sequence.